rnacentral:rRNA from 1 species
AACGAACGCUGGCGGCAUGCCUAACACAUGCAAGUCGAACGAGACCUUCGGGUCUAGUUGCGCACGGGUGCGUAACGCGUGGGAACCUGCCCUUAGGUUCGGAAUAACUCCCCGAAAGGGGUGCUAAUACCGGAUAAUGUCUUAGGACCAAAGAUUUAUCGCCUUUGGAUGGGCCCGCGUUGGAUUAGCUAGUUGGUAGGGUAAAAGCCUACCAAGGCGACGAUCCAUAGCUGGUCUGAGAGGAUGAUCAGCCACACUGGGACUGAGACACGGCCCAGACUCCUACGGGAGGCAGCAGUGGGGAAUAUUGGACAAUGGGCGAAAGCCUGAUCCAGCAAUGCCGCGUGAGUGAUGAAGGCCUUAGGGUUGUAAAGCUCUUUUAACCGGGAUGAUAAUGACAGUACCGGGAGAAUAAGCGCCGGCUAACUCCGUG